rnacentral:rRNA from 1 species
GACGUAGGGCGCGAGCGUUGUCCGGAUUUAUUGGGCGUAAAGAGCUCGUAGGCGGUCUGUCGCGUCUGCUGUGAAAACUCAGGGCUUAACCCUGAGCUUGCAGUGGGUACGGGCAGACUAGAGUGCGGUAGGGGAGACUGGAAUUCCUGGUGAUAGCGGUGAAAUGACGCAGAUAUCAGGAGGAACACCGGUGGCGAAGGCGGCUACCUGGACAGAAACUGACGCUGGAGGCAACGAAAGCUAGGGGAGCAAACAGG